rnacentral:tRNA from 1 species
CGGCGCUCAAGGCAUCGUGGGUGGCUUGCAGUUGUUCCGGGUCGCUGUCGAGGAACGCGGCGUUCAGUUGCUGGGCGCCGA